UACGGAGGGUGCGAGCGUUGUCCGGAAUCACUGGGCGUAAAGGGCGCGUAGGCGGCCAGCACAAGUCAGUUGUGAAAUCUCCGAGCUUAACUCGGAACGGUCAACUGAUACUGUGCGGCUAGAGUGCAGAAGGGGCAACUGGAAUUCUUGGUGUAGCGGUGAAAUGCGUAGAUAUCAAGAGGAACACCUGCGGCGAAGGCGGGUUGCUGGGCUGACACUGACGCUGAGGCGCGAAAGCUAGGGGAGCGAACGGG
rnacentral:rRNA from 1 species